GCUUUGAAAACAUGGUCACAUUUAUUCUUCAUUAAAACAAGUUACUGUCUUGAAGGCGUGGGGGAAACAUGCACAGACUUAAAUAGUUACCACAUCAGAAACUGGAAAGUGAAAUCCAUCAGUGGCUCAGCUUUGGCUUCUCAGUUACUCUCUCCUUUUUAUACUUCAUAUGAGUGGCCAGACUAACAACCGCGCUGCCCUGUCCCUGCAGAAGUGACCUGUGUGGUUUGGUUUGGGUGGGCAGCGCUACCUGUAUGGACUCUGCCUUUGGAGGAGGAAGAGGAGGAGGAGGAGGCAGAGCACCUUCCUUCCUCCCACUCGCUCAAAGGGGCUGAGCCCUUUCUUCUCCCCACCCACUGCUCUCAUGUUCUAGAAACACCAGAUAGCAUCUUCCCCAUGACCCACAAACACUGGCAUGAGAACAGACGCUGUGGCUGAAGGAGGAAACUUCACUGCAGAGACACCUAUUUAAAAAGGGAGUAUUUAAAACUCAGCUUCGCCCGUGCCAAGGUGCCAGGCGUGAAACUACCACCCCCCUGCACUCCCCACCUCCAGCAGUUGUCUGCAUCCCAGCGCCACUGCGAUGUAACACCCAAGAUGCAGGCAGGGCUGUGAAACUUGCCCAGCUUGCAGCAGCAGGGAACCAGCCCCACACAGCUAAGCUGAAAGUGCAACUGGUCUAUAUGGGAAGUGUUUAAGGCACUCAGAAGAACUGGAUUGAGCCAGCACAGAGCCAAAGCUCUCGACAAACAUUCCUGUGUAAACAAUUUCAGGCUCUUCUGGAAUCCUCUGUUCCUUCCCCCUCGACAUUGGUGUCUGAACAGAGGUGGAUGGUAUCACUGCAGGAAGAAAUCCGCCGCACCCAGGAGCCAGAGCACGGGCUGGCAUUCAAGCCUUAUCUGCUGCACUCCCACUCCCCCAGGAGUGGGGCAAUCCUCAUGUUUACACCUUUCCCAAGCACACAUCUGUGAGCUCCUGCAGCAGGGAUGAGCCUCUGACAUUCAGACAGUUGCUGUAGUUC
rnacentral:lncRNA from 1 species